rnacentral:lncRNA from 1 species
ACGAGUUAUUUAAGUAGUUGUUUCGAGCUAGGAUGACUGAGGGCACAUCUAUACAAGCCCACAUACUGAAGAUAAUUGACUUGGUCACUAGAUUAGGUCAAUUGGGCUUUGCAAUGGAUGCGAAACUCAGUUAGAAUCUAAUCCUUCAGUCCUUCCUAGACUUCUUCUCUCAGUUUGUGAUUAACUACUAUAUGAACAAACUGGAUAUAACCCUGUAGAGCUACUGAAUAUGUUGAAAGUAGCAGAAAGCUAUAUUAAGGGAGAGAAGGGUUGUUGCCCAGCUAUGCAACCCAAGAGGGGGGGG